rnacentral:misc_RNA from 1 species
CGCACAUUGCACCUCUUGGUAUUCCUUGAGGUAUAUUUGUUUGAGCGCCGUUUUAAAAAAUUAAGACCUUGUCUUGUGUUGAAUUUUGAGGAUUCAUAAUUUCCAAUAAGUUGGCAUGACAGAGAAUGUUGAAAAACUCGAAUGUUUGAAAACAUCUGAAGUUAUUGCCAUUUAACUCUAAAACGUAUCUUGGCCUCAAAUCAAAUAGGGAUACCCGCUGAACUUAA